UGAGCAGUUCUGGUAGCCGCUGCGGCAUCGUGCAAACUGCAAACGACGCCGGGGAGGAAAGUCCGGGCUCCAUAGGGCAGGAUGCCGGGUAACGCCCGGUCGGCGCGAGCCGAAGGAAAGUGCCACAGAAAACAAACAGCCCGAAGCAGUCGGCAGGCAGAACACGUUAUGUCGGGGGCUCGUUUAAAGGGCAAGGGUGAAAAGGUAGGGUAAGAGCCUACCGAAUGCGGUGUGAAUCGCAUGUCUGGCAAACCCCAUCCGGAGCAAGAUCGAAUAGAGGGGGAGGAAGCUGCCCGCUGACCC
rnacentral:RNase_P_RNA from 1 species